GAUGAACGCUGGCGGCGUGCCUAAUACAUGCAAGUCGAGCGAACAGACGAGGAGCUUGCUCCUCUUACGUUAGCGGCGGACGGGUGAGUAACACGUGGAUAACCUACCUAUAAGCCGGGGAUAACUUCGGGAAACCGUAGCUAAUACCGGAUAAUAUUUUGAACCGCAUGGUUCAAUAGUGAAAGACGGAUUUGCUUUAACUUAUGGAUGGAUUCGCUCCGCUUUAGUUAGUUGUUAAGGUACCGGCUUACCAGGGCAACGAUGCGUAGCCGCCCUGAGAGGGUGACCGCCAACACUGGAACUGAGACCCGGUCAAGACUCCUAGGGGAGGAAGCAGUAGGGAAUCUUCCGAAAUGGGCGAAAGCCUGACGGAGCACCGCCGCGUGAGUGAUGAAGGUCUUCGGAUCGUAAACCUCUGUUAUUAGGGAAGACCAAAUGUGUAAGUAAAUAUGCACGUCUUGACGGUACCUAAUCAGAAAGCCACGGCUAACUACGUG
rnacentral:rRNA from 1 species